rnacentral:rRNA from 1 species
AGUGGCGGACGGGUGAGUAAUGUCUGGGAAACUGCCUGAUGGAGGGGGAUAACUACUGGAAACGGUAGCUAAUACCGCAUACCAUCGGAUGUGCCCAGAUGGGAUUAGCUAGUAGGUGGGGUAAAGGCUCACCUAGGCGACGAUCCCUAGCUGGUCUGAGAGGAUGACCAGCCACACUGGAACUGAGACACGGUCCAGACUCCUACGGGAGGCAGCAGUGGGGAAUAUUGCACAAUGGGCGCAGGCCUGAUGCAGCCAUGCCGCGUGUAUGAAGAAGGCCUUCGGGUUGUAAAGUACUUUCAGCGGGGAGGCGUUACCCGCAGAAGAAGCACCGGCUAACUCCGUGCCAGCAGCCGCGGUAAUACGGAGGGUGCAAGCGUUAAUCGGAAUUACUGGGCGUAAAGCGCACGCAGGCGGUUUGUUAAGUCAGAUGUGAAAUCCCCGGGCUCAACCUGGGAACUGCAUCUGAUACUGGCAAGCUUGAGUCUCGUAGAGGGGGGUAGAAUUCC